rnacentral:rRNA from 1 species
AACGAACGCUGGCGGCGCGCCUAAUACAUGCAAGUCGAGCGAGAAGACGUAGCAAUACGUUUGUAAAGCGGCGAACGGGUGAGGAAUACAUGGGUAACCUACCCUCGAGUGGGGAAUAACUAGCCGAAAGGUUAGCUAAUACCGCGUACGCUCCUUGGACUUCGGUUCAGGGAGGAAAGCGAUACCGCGGGUAUCGCGCUCUUGGAUGGGCUCAUGUCCUAUCAGCUUGUGGUGAGGUAACGGCUCACCAAGGCUUCGACGGGUAGCUGGUCUGAGAGGACGAUCAGCCACACUGGCACUGCGACACGGGCCAGACUCCUACGGGAGGCAGCAGUAAGGAAUAUUGCGCAAUGGGCGAAAGCCUGACGCAGCGACGCCGCGUGGGGGAUGAAGGUCUUCGGAUUGU